AAAAAAUAUCCCUUUCCUACCCCCUCAGGUUUGAAUGAACAGACCAUCCAAACCUUCAAGUCUGCCAUGGGAAAGUCCCUUGCCGGGUACCAGGAAUGAUGGAAGGACAAUCUGAAGUGAUUCGACAUCCGGGCGAAUGACUUGGUUUGGAAGAAAGGCGAAAGGAAGGUGAGACCUGGGGAAACCUCGCUGCUCUUUCGCUCCUAGCUGGGAUCACCAUCCGUUAAGGGUUACUUCGGUGGAAGCCAAUAAUCAUCUCCAAUGGGAGCAGCUGGACGCUCCACACUUCAGUGAAGCCUAUGAGACAAAGACCAUCGACUGUCUAAACCACCCAGGAGGUAUGCCAUCCACCAGAAUCAGUGAGUUUGGAUCAGUCUGAUUCUCUGUGCUCUGAGUCAGAGGGGUACCAACUUGAGACCUGGAUCCACCUGAUGUCCUCCAUUACCUGUUCU